AGGCCGUGAUGGGGACACUUGCGUAAUAGCUCCUUGAACCUUUCCCAAGUUUCAUAUAAGGAUUCCCCGUCCUCUUGUGUAUAUGUAUUAAUUUCAGUCAUUAACUU
rnacentral:snoRNA from 1 species